AUCUCGGAGAACUCUAUCAAAAGCAAAUUUAUAAGGAGAGUGGUUAUGUGUGUGAGGCUUCACGGUGGCUGAGGGGAAGAGACAAGGAAUGUCAAUGAGGGGGAAAGAAAGAUGCUGAACUGCAAGACCAGGAGCACUAAAGCUUCCUUCCUACUGAAGACUGGACUAUAAGAUAAUGAACCACACCUGUUGGAUUCUUUAGGCAAUUCUAAGCACCAGCUGAGAUAGUGAUUAAAAGUAACAUUCCAUUCUCAGCCUACCUGGGGUGUUCAACAAUCUUGACAUCUUGCA
rnacentral:lncRNA from 1 species